UACGGAGGGGUUAGGUCGUUGUUCGGAAGUUAACUGGGCGGUAAAGACGCACGUAGGCGGAUUGGUAAAGUUAGGGGUUGGAAAUACCCCACGGGCGUCAACCCCCUACGGAACUGCCUCCAAAACUACCCACGUCUGGAGUUCGAGAGAGGUGAGUGGAAUUCCGAGUGUAGAGGUGAAAUUACGUAGAUAUUCGGAGGAACACCAGUGGCGAAGGCGGCUCACUGGCUCGAUACUGACGCUGAGGUGCGAAAGUGUGGGGAGCAAACAGGAUUAGAUACCCCCGUACGU
rnacentral:rRNA from 1 species